UACGGAGGGAGCUAGCGUUGUUCGGAAUUACUGGGCGUAAAGCGCACGUAGGCGGCUUUGUAAGUUAGAGGUGAAAGCCCGGGGCUCAACUCCGGAAUUGCCUUUAAAACUGCAUCGCUAGAGUUGUGGAGAGGUAAGUGGAAUUCCGAGUGUAGAGGUGAAAUUCGUAGAUAUUCGGAAGAACACCAGUGGCGAAGGCGACUUACUGGACACAUACUGACGCUGAGGUGCGAAAGCGUGGGGAGCAAACAGG
rnacentral:rRNA from 1 species